rnacentral:rRNA from 1 species
UGCCAGCCGCCGCGGUAAGACUGAAGGUGCAAGCGUUACUCGGAAUCACUGGGCGUAAAGCGUCCGCAGCCGUUUUUGUUAGUCUGGCGUAAAAGCACGAAGCUCAACUCCGUGUACGUGCCGGAAACUGCAAAAAUUGAGUUAUUCAGAGGCAUCUGGAAUGUCAUGUGGAGGGGUAAAAUCCGUUGAUCCAUGAUAGAACGCCAAAAGCGAAGGCAGGAUGCUGGGAAUAUACUGACGGUCAGGGACGAAAGCGUAGGUAGCGAACGGGAUUAGAUA